ACGCUCGACACCUACGGGAAGCAGCAGUGGGGAAUAUUGCACAAUGGGGGAAACCCUGAUGCAGCGACGCCGCGUGAGCGAAGAAGUAUUUCGGUAUGUAAAGCUCUAUCAGCAGGGAAGAAAAUGACGGUACCUGACUAAGAAGCCCCGGCUAACUACGUGCCAGCAGCCGACGGUAAUCUGAGGCGGGCGUGGACGAAGGC
rnacentral:rRNA from 1 species